rnacentral:tRNA from 1 species
UAGCUCAGGUGGUCAGAGCACACGACUCAUAAUCGUGGUGUCGUGGGUUCGAGUCCC